rnacentral:lncRNA from 7 species
UUUAAGAAGUUUAGAAAGCACAGACGUUCACUCUGGAACUUGUGACUCAAAAAGAGGAUCUCCUGGAUGAGUGUGUUAAACUUUGUCCUCUACACAGAAAAUACCCAAGUGUACCUUACCAUCCUGAAUCUCAGGAAGACCUCAGUUCUUUUGGAAAGGAGUGAUUGAUGUUACUUCCUUUUUUCUAUUCUACUAAGCAAGAAAAUGAUUCAACUAUAGAGGAAAUAACCUUACAGUUCAGGUAAACAUCUGAUUAGGCAUUAUUAUCACCUGUUAUUUUCUUUGAUUUUAUGGAUUUCAGCCCAGAAAGUUGAAUAUCACCAACAGAAAACAACUUCCAAAGAAUCCAACAGUGUCAAACAUCAAGGAUCACAGUAGCUAAAUUCAUUAUUUUAACACAGUGCAAGUUUUUUAUUAUCUUGAUUCAAAAAAUUAAUAAAUAUUUAUAUUUCAUUAAUAUUACAACUCAUUUCAACCUUUAAAAUUGUUUGUGAUCUACAGUUUUCAACAUUUUCCUUUUGAUGUGUGGUUUUUUUUAGUGUUACAGAAGAGAACUGCAUUCAAAGAUUCAAACAUAUUAUAAUUUCAUAUUAAUGUAAAUGAAGAAAAUAACUUUUCAAGAAACAAGAAAUUGUCUGUCAAAAAUGUCUAGUUAUUGGACAGUGAAGUAGAUUGUUUGCAAUAAUAUGAAUUUUCUCUUUAUGUAGAUAAAAAUCAAUUGUGAAAUAAUAGAUCUAAAUGCAAUGUAGCUCUUGUCAAUAAUAGAUAUCUAGUGAUAUCUUGCUAUAAGCAAUUUUCAUUUUCAAGUAUACUCUUCCAGUUUCAAGGCACGCAUUCUAGUCUUUUAUCUUUGUUCAAGGCCUAAUUCACAAUUAAUAAGACCAGUAAGAGAUUUAUUUUCAAGUAAAUCUCCCAAGAAAUGAGACCGUGUGAUCGAAAUGUUCUCUUGAUGAAGUAAUUUCAGCAUUCUGUUUGUAUCAAAUGUUGGCUUUACAAAUUGUGAUAAAAAGGAUAUUUUAAAAUAAAGGUAUCUAACAUAUUUCCAUUAAAAAACCUGUCAGCCAUAGAGAUUUACGUUAUUAAGAGACACUGGCCUCCGUUAUUGUCUUUAUCACAUUCUCAGUUG